rnacentral:rRNA from 1 species
CCUACGGGCGGCAGCAGUGAGGAAUAUUGGUCAAUGGCCGUAAGGCUGAACCAGCCAAGUCGCGUGAAGGAAGAAGGAUCUAUGGUUUGUAAACUUCUUUUAUAGGGGAAUAAAGGUAUCCACGUGUGGAUAUUUGCAUGUACCCUAUGAAUAAGAAUCGGCUAACUCCGUGCCAGCAGCCGCGGUAAUACGGAGGAUGCGAGCGUUAUCCGGAUUUAUUGGGUUUAAAGGGUGCGUAGGUUGUUUUUUAAGUCAGCGGUGAAAGUUUGUGGCUCAACCAGAAAAUUGCCGUUGAAACUGGAAGACUUGAGUGUGUUUGAGGUAGGCGGAAUGCGAGGUGUAGCGGUGAAAUGCAUAGAGAUCACGAAGAACUCCGAUUGCGAAGGCAGCUUACUAAGCCAUAACUGACACUGAAGCACGAAAGCGUGGGGAGCAAACAGGAUUAGAUACCCUUGUAGUC